GACCCGUUAGCUCAGCGGUGAGAGCAUCCAACUAAGUGACUCAUACUUAACCGUAUAUCACUUGGAGAAGGUCGGAGGUUCAAAUCCUUCACGGGUUG